rnacentral:misc_RNA from 1 species
GAAACCAACCCUCAACUGAUCAUAUAAUAUAUUAGUUUAGCUUGUAGCAUAUAUAGUUGAGUGGUAAUGGGUGAAUGGCUUUUCUGUGGGAUGAUUUGAGGUUUUUACAGGGGCAUUAGUUUAUUUCCCCAUGCAUGGCUGACUUUAGCAAGCCUAGGAAAUCUAAAUCCGCGUCCACCUUCCCCAUUUCUUUUCUUAAAAACUAAAAAGAGCUUCCUUUGUAACAGCUUUUGCUUUUCACUUGCUUGCUUUCUUUCUUUUUUUCGCUUUUUCUUCUGCUUUCUUUCAGAUAACCUACAUGGCCAUGCAUCAUUUAGCUUUCAAUAUCUUAACAUCAGAAAUCUACCAACUCAUCAUGUGACAAUGCACAUAAAUAUAUAUUCAACUAAAGCAUGCCCAUGUACAACUUAACCCUUUUUUUUCAAAUUUUCCUUUACAAUAUUUUCUUGGGCAUAUCUUUAAUUAAUAUAAUUAACCCCCAUAAUUUAAUGAUAAAUAUUGGUCUUUCCAUGGUUUUGCUUAUGAUUAUAUAAUGGUAUAAAAAAAAGAAAAAAAAAAUUCGUUGUGAAUAACAUGAUUAGUA